GCAUAACGCCUCUAGGGUUCCGGCUUAUCAGCGUCAGGUCCGAGAGAGGCUCUCCCGUCUCAUGUGAGAGGCGGAGCCACGGCGGGAUAAAAGCCCGGGAGAC
rnacentral:sRNA from 1 species